rnacentral:rRNA from 1 species
UACGGAGGGGGCAAGCGUUAUUCGGAAUUAUUGGGCGUAAAGGGCGCGUAGGCGGCUAGAUGUGUCAAAGGUGAAAUCCCUCGGCUCAACUGAGGAACUGCCUUUGAAACUGUCUGGCUUGAGGCCGGGAGAGGGUAGCGGAAUUCCCAGUGUAGCGGUGAAAUGCGUAGAUAUUGGGAGGAACACCAGUGGCGAAGGCGGCUACCUGGACCGGAUCUGACGCUGAGGCGCGAAAGCGUGGGGAGCAAACAGG